rnacentral:rRNA from 1 species
CCCCAGUGCUAUCGGGAGUGGGACUAAGAGAUGCUAGUCGAGCGUCUCCAAGCUAUGGAAGAGACGCGGCACACAGCUCAGUAACACGUGGCUAACCUGCCCUUGGGACAAGGACAACCCCGGGAAACUGGGGCUAAUCCCUGAUAGGUGAGAACUCCUGGAAUGGAUUCUCGCUGAAAGGACGUUUAGACCAUGCUUCUAGGCGUCGCCCAAGGAGGGGGCCGCGACCGAUCAGGUUGUUGGUGAGGUAACGGCUCACCAAGCCUUUAACCGGUACGGGCCGUGAGAGCGGAAGCCCGGAGAUGGGCACUGAGACAAGGGCCCAGGCCCUACGGGGCGCAGCAGUCGCGAAAACUCCGCAAUACACGCAAGUGUGACAGGGUCAUCCCGAGUGCCGACCGCUGAGGUUGGCUUUUACCCAGUCUAGAAAGCUGGGGGAAUAAGGAGAGGGCAAGUCUGGUGUCGGCCGCCGCGGUAAUACCAGCUCUCCGAGUGGUGUGGACGUUUAUUGGGCCUAAAGCAUCCGUAGCUGGCUGAACAAGUCCCCUGCUAAACCCACCGAUUUAAUCGUUGGCUUGCGGGGGAUACUGCUCGGCUAGGGGACGAGAGAGGCAGACGGUAUUCCCGGGGUAGGGGUGAAAUCCUAUAAUCCCGGGAAGACCACCAGUGGCGAAGGCUGUCUGCUAGAACGCGCCCGACGGUGAGGGAUGAAAGCUGGGGGAGCGAACCGGAUUAGAUACCCGGGUAGUCCCAGCUGUAAACGAUGCAGGCUAGGUGUUGGCGCGGCUACGUGCCGCUCCAGUGCCGCAGGGAAGCCGUUAAGCCUGCCGCCUGGGAAGUGCGGCCGCAAGGCUGAAACUUAAAGGAAUUGGCGGGGGAGCACCACAAGGUGUGAAGCUUGCAGUUU